rnacentral:rRNA from 1 species
AAGUCGAACGCGGGCAGCAAUGCCCGAGUGGCGAACGGGUGAGUAAUACAUAAGUAACCUGCCCUUUACAGGGGGAUAACUAUUGGAAACGAUAGCUAAGACCGCAUAGGUAAAGAUACCGCAUGGUAAGUUUAUUAAAAGUGCCAAGGCACUGGUAGAGGAUGGACUUAUGGCGCAUUAGCUAGUUGGUGAGGUAACGGCUCACCAAGGCGACGAUGCGUAGCCGACCUGAGAGGGUGACCGGCCACACUGGGACUGAGACACGGCCCAGACUCC